AACUCAGAGAUCGGACUUCCUCUGCCUCCCAAGAGUGCUGGGUUUAAAGGUGUGUGCCACCACUGCCCGGCUGCCCGUGUUAUUUUCAAUGUGGAGCUUCAGUGUUUCCUCAGGCUGAUCAGCCGCUUGAUAACUCCAAAGCAUUCUCUCAGAAACAGGGUCGGGUCGCAUUGUGCUUCUGCCAGCCAAACAAUAACUGAUGAAAGCCAGGUGUGGUGGUGCACGCCUUCUCUCUGAGUUCGAGGCCAGCCUGGUCUGCAGCGUGAGUUCCAGGACAGCCAGCACUACACGGGGAAACCCUGUCUUGAAAAAAAAACAUUAACAAACAAGCAAACAAGUAAAUAAGACUAUGAUGAAUGGUGCAUAUUGCCAACUUUCUCACUGCCGGUAAGUGAUGCUCUGUGACGCUUGAUUUUCACAUACGCCUGUAGCAUAAUUCACAUCUGACUAAUUUCAACUCGCUAUGUAGCCCUGGCCAGCCUGGAACCUCACUCUGUAGACCAGCUUGGCCUCGAACUCACAGAGAUCCGCCUGCCUCUGCCUCCCGAGUGCUGGGAUUAAAGGUGUGCGCCACCAACGCCCGGUGUAUGGGCAAUAUUAUAUGUUUUCUUUUUCUUCCUUCUUUUUGGCGCUGUCUAUAUAUUUUUAUUUGAACUAUUUAUGGAUGAAUUAUAGACACGAAGCUGUGACGUUUAAAAACUACCUGUAUAAAUUUUCAGAUGGACUCCAUUUUAGGAUCACAGAAGAGCUGAAACGAAAGGAAAAAGUUCUUCGCUCCAUUACUGAUGUCUUACAUUGCUGACACACUUGCUGCAAUUUCAGAGGUUUCAAUCAUCGUCAUCACGGCCGGAGGCGUGGCACAUGCAGACAGACACGGUGCUGGAAAAGUAGCCGAGAGUUCUAUAUCCGGAUCCACAGGCCACAGGAAGAGAGCAACUCUGGGCUUGUAGUGGACUUUUUGAAACCUCAAAGCCCCUCAGUGAUGCACUUCCUCCAACAGGACCACACCUCCUAGUCCUUUCAAAUAGUGUUGUUCCCUAGUGACCAAGUUUUUAGAGUUGUUUAACAAAGAAAUGCAUUUUAUUUAGUAAUGAUCUAGUUGCCCAGUGAUGUUAGUUCUUGCUUUUACUCGCUGAAUUAAUAAACCGCCUGACUGUU